GGGGAUUUAGCUCAGUGGUAGAGCACUUGCCUAGCAAAUGCAAGACCCUGAGUUCAGUCCUCA
rfam:Neotoma lepida isolate 417 scaffold_10262, whole genome shotgun sequence.